rnacentral:miRNA from 1 species
CAGUGAAAGGGUGCUGUUAUGC